rnacentral:lncRNA from 1 species
GGAACACCUCUUCCCGUCCGCCAUCACAUCUAGGAAGUGAGGAGCAUCUCUGCCCGGCCGCCCAUCGUCUGAGACGUGGGGAGUGCCUCUGCCCCGCCGCCCCGUCUGGGAUGUGAGGAGCACCUCUGCCCGACCCCGACCCCGUCUGGGAGACAUCCGUUGUGGACUCUUCUUUUUUGCCCUUUGCUGGAUGGUAGGUGGAGGACAGUUAUCAGAGCUGCAGAGAAGGAAAUAACCUGUCUGGCAUCAGACACUGAUCCUGUUACCAUCUAAUCCACACAGGGACUUGGAUAACAAAUACUUGGAUAAUGAAAACAUCCAAUAAUUAAUGUGCCACCUACUCACCAGGAUCAUGGCCCAACAGGGAAAUGUGGAACAAAGCUCUCCUCAAGGGGAAAGAAAAUGGGAUACACGGCUUGGAAAACCUUCACUAACACUCCCAUAUGAAGAGUGAUAGAAUGCUAAUUUCCCACAGAUUCAUUAUCACCAUGAAAUGAAAUUUUGGAACACAUCACAGAGGCUAUACUUGAAUGCCCACACCCAUGUUCUUUCUUUCGGUAGAAGACCCAGGGUAGUAACCAUUCAGUUCUUGAAAGAUGGUCUGGAUGCAGAACAUCACCAGAACAUUGAUCUGAAACAAACAACAAAUGAAUGUAAAAGCAAGACAAAGGACUUCCAAUAACAACAAAAUAUUAGUAAUAAAAAGAUUCCUGGAAGAGUCCAGGAAUCUGCCUCAUCAGAAACACACUGGGAUUUUUUCUGCUUGUUUGUUUGUUUGUUUUUUGUAGAGAUGGAGGUUUCACUCUGUUGCCUAGGCUGGUCUUGAACUCCUGGCCUCAAGCAAUCCUCCCACUUCUGCCUCCCAAUACACUGGGAUUACAGGCUUGAGCCACCGUGCCCAGCUCACACUGGAAAUUCUAAUGUGUUUUCAAAAGAAAACAUACUGUAUACUAUACACAAACACACACACACACACACACACUGAGAGAGAGAGAAAGAAAGAAAAGAGUGUGUACAGUAUCAUUGCAUUUAUUCAAAGUUCAAGAAUAGGCAAAACGAAAUUAUAGUGACAGAGGUCAGAAGAGUGGUUCCCUCCGGGGAUGAGUAUUUACUGCAAGCAGCCUGAAGAUGCUGGAAAUGCUUUACAUCUUAGUCAAGGUGGUGGGUACAUGGGAGUGUACAUAUGUGUAUAUAUACAGGUUCAUCAAGCUGUGCCUUGUGAUUAGUGCACUUUAAAAAUGUAACACUUGGGAGGCUGAGGCAGGUGGAUUGCCUGAGCUCAGGAGUUUGAGACCAGCCUGGGCAACAUGGUGAAACCCCAUCUCUACUAAAAUACAGAAAAUUAGUUGGGCGUGGCAAUGUGCGCCUGUAAUCCCAGCUACUUGGGAGGCUAAGACAGGAGAAUCGCUUGAACCCGGGAGGUUGCAGUGAACUGAAAUCGCGCCAUUGCACUCCA